CGGGGCGGCGGCGGCGGCGGCCGGGGCGGGGCCUCGCUAGGGCCCGCCCCCCAGGUACGUCACGGCGCCGCGCCCCGCCCCCCGCGCGGCCCCUCCCCUCUCCCCGGCAGCGCCGCUCGGGAGCCCGGAGCGGCUGGGCGCGCGUGGCCGUCUCGCAGCGCCGCCGCACGGGUCUGCCGGUGGACAGCCUUGGGAAGCAGGCACGAGGGCUGGAGCCCAGGCAUGCAUUUUUCCAGGAGAGAUGUGAGCCCGCCGGGCCCCCCGCCGACGCGUCGCUGAGGCGGCCCCCGCGGCGCGCCCCGCCGGCCCCCC
rnacentral:lncRNA from 1 species